UACGUAGGGGGGCAAGCGUUGUCCGGAAUCAUUGGGCGUAAAGAGCGUGUAGGCGGUUCGGUAAGUCGGCUGUGAAAGUCCAGGGCUCAACCCUGGGAUGCCGGUCGAUACUGCCGGACUAGAGUUCGGAAGAGGCGAGUGGAAUUCCCGGUGUAGCGGUGAAAUGCGCAGAUAUCGGGAGGAACACCAAUGGCGAAGGCAGCUCGCUGGGACGUUACUGACGCUGAGACGCGAAAGCGUGGGGAGCAAACAGG
rnacentral:rRNA from 1 species